AGUGGGGAAUAUUGCACAAUGGGCGCAAGCCUGAUGCAGCCAUGCCGCGUGUGUGAAGAAGGCCUUCGGGUUGUAAAGCACUUUCAGUCAGGAGGAAAGGUUAGUAGUUAAUACCUGCUAGCUGUGACGUUACUGACAGAAGAAGCACCGGCUAACUCCGUGCCAGCAGCCGCGGUAAUACGGAGGGUGCGAGCGUUAAUCGGAAUUACUGGGCGUAAAGCGUACGCAGGCGGUUUGUUAAGCGAGAUGUGAAAGCCCCGGGCUCAACCUGGGAACUGCAUUUCGAACUGGCAAACUAGAGUGUGAUAGAGGGUGGUAGAAUUUCAGGUGUAGCGGUGAAAUGCGUAGAGAUCUGAAGGAAUACCGAUGGCGAAGGCAGCCACCUGGGUCAACACUGACGCUCAUGUACGAAAGCGUGGGGAGCAAACGGGAUUAGAUACCCCGGUAGUCCACGCCGUAAACGAUGUCUACUAGAAGCUCGGAGCCUCGGUUCUGUUUUUCAAAGCUAACGCAUUAAGUAGACCGCCUGGGGAGUACGGCCGCAAGGUUAAAACUCAAAUGAAUUGACGGGGGCCCGCACAAGCGGUGGAGCAUGUGGUUUAAUUCGAUGCAACGCGAAGAACCUUACCUACACUUGACAUACAGAGAACUUACCAGAGAUGGUUUGGUGCCUUCGGGAACUCUGAUACAGGUGCUGCAUGGCUGUCGUCAGCUCGUGUUGUGAGAUGUUGGGUUAAGUCCCGCAACGAGCGCAACCCCUAUCCUUAGUUGCUAGCAGGUAAUGCUGAGAACUCUAAGGAGACUGCCGGUGAUAAACCGGAGGAAGGUGGGGACGACGUCAA
rnacentral:rRNA from 1 species